GACGAACGCUGGCGGCGUGCUUAACACAUGCAAGUCGAACGGAAAGGCCCUGCUUUUGUGGGGUGCUCGAGUGGCGAACGGGUGAGUAACACGUGAGUAACCUGCCCUUGACUUUGGGAUAACUUCAGGAAACUGGGGCUAAUACCGGAUAGGAGCUCCUGCUGCAUGGUGGGGGUUGGAAAGUUUCGGCGGUUGGGGAUGGACGCGCGGCUUAUCAGCUUGUUGGUGGGGUAGUGGCUUACCAAGGCUUUGACGGGUAGCCGGCCUGAGAGGGUGACCGGCCACAUUGGGACUGAGAUACGGACCAGACUCCUACGGGAGGCAGCAGUGGGGAGUAUUGCACAAUGGGCGGAAGCCUGAUGCAGCAACGCCGCGUGCGGGAUGACGGCCUUCGGGUUGUGAACCGCUUUAGCCUGUGACGAAGCGUGAGUGACGGUAAUGGGUAAAGAAGCACCGGCUAACUACGUG
rnacentral:rRNA from 1 species